AUUGAACGCUGGCGGAAUGCUUUACACAUGCAAGUCGAACGGCAGCACGGACUUCGGUCUGGUGGCGAGUGGCGAACGGGUGAGUAAUACAUCGGAACGUGCCCAAUCGUGGGGGAUAACGGAGCGAAAGCUACGCUAAUACCGCAUACGAUCCAAGGAUGAAAGCGGGGGAUCGCAAGACCUCCCGCGACUGGAGCGGCCGGUGGCAGAUUAGGGAGUUGGUAGGGUAAAGGCCUACCAAGCCGACGAUCUGUAGCUGGUCUGAGAGGAUGAUCAGCCAAACUGGGACUGAGACACGGCCCAGACUCCUACGGGAGGCAGCAGUGGGGAAUUUUGGACAAUGGACGCAAGUCUGUUCCAGCCAUUCCGCGUGCAGGAUGAAGGCCCUCGGGUUGUAAACUGCUUUUGUACAGAACGAAAAGGCUCUGGUUAAUACCUAGGGCUCAUGACGGUACUGUAAGAAUAAGCACCGGCUAACUACGUGCCAGCAGCCGCCGUAA
rnacentral:rRNA from 1 species